rnacentral:rRNA from 1 species
GACGAACCGUGCGAACGUUGUUCGGAAUCACUGGGCUUAAAGGGCGCGUAGGCGGGCUGUCAAGUCUGGGGUGAAAUGCCACGGCUCAACCGUGGAACUGCCUCAGAUACUGACGGCCUCGAGGAAGGUAGGGGCAUGCGGAACUGUAGGUGGAGCGGUGAAAUGCGUUGAUAUCUACAGGAACUCCGGUGGCGAAAGCGGCGUGCUGGACCUUUUCUGACGCUGAGGCGCGAAAGCUAGGGGAGCAAACAGG